GACGAACGCUGGCGGCGUGCUUAACACAUGCAAGUCGAGCGGUAAGGCCCUUUCGGGGGUACACGAGCGGCGAACGGGUGAGUAACACGUGGGUGACCUGCCCUCAGCUCUGGGAUAAGCCUGGGAAACCGGGUCUAAUACCGGAUAUGACUCCAUGACGCAUGUUGUGGGGUGGAAAGCCUUGUGCGGCUGAGGAUGGGCCCGCGGCCUAUCAGCUUGUUGGUGGGGUGAUGGCCUACCAAGGCGACGACGGGUAGCCGGCCUGAGAGGGCGACCGGCCACACUGGGACUGAGACACGGCCCAGACUCCUACGGGAGGCAGCAGUGGGGAAUAUUGGACAAUGGGCGCAAGCCUGAUCCAGCGAUGCCGCGUGUGUGAAGAAGGCCUGCGGGUUGUAAAGCACUUUCAGUCGGGAGGAAGGCGGGUUGGCGAACAGCCGGCCGGAUUGACGUAACCGACAG
rnacentral:rRNA from 1 species